AAGUCGUAACAAGGUUUCCGUAGGUGAACCUGCGGAAGGAUCAUUAUUGAAACUUCAUCCGGGGCGCCGCGGCCCUCAGCACCGGUGGAAACGCCGUGUUGCGGGGGCCGCGCGUGCACUCGUCCAAACCAAACCCCUGUGAACCUUACGGGAUGGCCUUGGGUUAGCGCCCGGUGCCGUUCCGCUUUAUACAAACACUUAUCAAAGAAUGAACUGAAGGCGGUCUGACCGCUGGAUAACAAACUGAAACAACUUUCAACAACGGAUCUCUUGGCUCUC
rnacentral:misc_RNA from 1 species